AUUGAACGCUGGCGGCAUGCCUUACACAUGCAAGUCGAACGGCAGCAUGGAGAGCUUGCUCUCUGAUGGCGAGUGGCGAACGGGUGAGUAAUGCAUCGGAACGUACCGUGUAAUGGGGGAUAACGUAGCGAAAGUUACGCUAAUACCGCAUACGACCUGAGGGUGAAGGCAGGGGAUCGCAAGACCUUGCGUUAUACGAGCGGCCGAUGUCAGAUUAGCUAGCUGGUGAGGUAAAGGCUCACCAAGGCGACGAUCUGUAGCGGGUCUGAGAGGAUGAUCCGCCACACUGGGACUGAGACACGGCCCAGACUCCUACGGGAGGCAGCAGUGGGGAAUUUUGGACAAUGGGGGCAACCCUGAUCCAGCCAUGCCGCGCGAGUGAAGAAGGCCUUCGGGUUGUAAAGCUCUUUCGGCCGGGAAGAAAUCGCACAGGCUAAUACUCUGUGUGGAUGACGGUACCGGCAUAAGAAGCACCGGCUAACUACGUGCCAGCCGCCGCCGUAA
rnacentral:rRNA from 1 species